rnacentral:rRNA from 1 species
GUCCACGCCAUAAACGAUGAGGACUAGACGUUGAGAGGGUUAGCCUCCCAGUGUCGUAGCUAACGCGCUAAGUCCUCCGCCUGGGGAGUACGGCCGCAAGGUUGAACUCAAAGGAAUUGACGGGGACCCGCACAAGCGGUGGAGCAUGUGGUUUAAUUCGAUGCAACGCGAAGAACCUUACCUGGUCUUGACAUCUACGGAAUCCCGCCAGAAAUGCAGGAGUGCCGCAAGGAACCGUAAGACAGGUGCUGCAUGGCUGUCGU